rnacentral:rRNA from 1 species
GUGUCAGCCGCCGCGGUAAUACAGAGGUCCCAAGCGUUGUUCGGAUUCACUGGGCGUAAAGGGUGCGUAGGUGGUGGGGUAAGUCGGAUGUGAAAGCUCGGAGCUCAACUCCGAAAUGGCAUUGGAAACUACCCUGCUAGAGGAUUGGAGGGGGGACUGGAAUACUUGGUGUAGCAGUGAAAUGCGUAGAUAUCAAGUGGAACACCAGUGGCGAAGGCGAGUCCCUGGACAAUACCUGACACUGAGGCACGAAAGCUAGGGGAGCAAACAGGAGGAUAAACCAGCGGAUUAC